UAGUAAUAAAACAUAUGCCUUCUAUAC
rnacentral:sRNA from 1 species